AGUUGUUCAUGCUGUCCGUUGUUGCUAAGGGCGUGACAUCUACGUUCUUGUUGCAACCAGUAUAACAUCUCAACCCUGGAGGGUAGUUGCAUUGUAACCUGGAUACUGUUUGAUGCUAAUGGAUGUACGUGUCUCUCGAGUAAGACACCACACUAAUGGAUCUCUUACCUUUUUGUAGCAGUCUCUUUGGAUCUGAAGCUUCUCUUUCAAACAAUUCCAACUCGUGUAAAAGUUUCUCCCGUUUCAAAAUAAAUUCACAAACUUUUUCCCAAGCUGCGACGCUCUGUGAGGACAAAUUGUUUGCAGUGGUUAAGCAUUAGUUGUAACUUCUUCCACACAAUUUCAAAUCUUCGCUGGUAUGUUCCGGUCUGUUGCACAUGUGAUGUCAUCGUCGUGGAUGGGAAGGUUAGGCCGCUAGAUGGCGAUGGAGCAAUGUUGGAUCUGGGGGUAUAAUGGUAUAUACAG